rnacentral:rRNA from 1 species
AGAGUGAACGCUGGCGGUAGGCCUAACACAUGCAAGUCGAACGGCAGCACAGUGGUAGCAAUACCAUGGGUGGCGAGUGGCGGACGGGUGAGGAAUACAUCGGAAUCUACCUUUUCGUGGGGGAUAACGUAGGGAAACUUACGCUAAUACCGCAUACGCCCUUCGGGGGAAAGCCGGGGAUCGCAAGACCUGGCGCGGAUAGAUGAGCCGAUGUCGGAUUAGCUAGUUGGUGAGGUAAUGGCUCACCAAGGCGACGAUCCGUAGCUGGUCUGAGAGGAUGAUCAGCCACACUGGAACUGAGACACGGUCCAGACUCCUACGGGAGCAGCAGGUGGGGAAUAUUGGACAAGUGGGCGCAAGCCUGAUCCAGCCAGUCGCCGCGUGUGUGGAGAAGGCCUUGGGUUAGUAAAGUCUACGUUUUUGUUAGGGAAUAAAGUCCGUGGGUAAUUAACGUACGUACCCCGGUGCGUCGGAACGGUAACCCAAAGAAUAACGCACCGGACUAACCGUCG